rnacentral:misc_RNA from 1 species
GAAAUGCGAUAAGUAAUGUGAAUUGCAGAAUUCAGUGAAUCAUCGAAUCUUUGAACGCACCUUGCGCUCCUUGGUAUUCCUUGGAGCAUGCCUGUUUGAGUAUCAUGAAAUCUUCAAAGUAAAUCUUUUGUUAACUCAAUUGGUUUCUACUUUGGUAUUGGAGGUCUUUGCAGCUUCACACCUGCUCCUCUUUGUUCAUUAGCUGGAUCUCAGUGUUAUGCUUGGUUCCACUCGGCGUGAUAAGUUAUCUAUCGCUGAGGACACUGUAAAAGGUGGCCAAGGUAAAUGCAGAUGAACCGCUUCUAAUAGUCCAUUGACUUGGACAAUACUUUUAUGAUCUGAUAUCAAAUCAGGUAGGACUACCCGCUGAACUUAAGC